UGGUGAUGAUGAUGAGAAUGUGAA
rnacentral:sRNA from 1 species